rnacentral:rRNA from 1 species
UAGUCCACGCAGUAAACGAUGUCUAUUAGAAGUUUGUUGCUAUAUGCAGUGGGUUUCAAAGCUAACGCAUUAAAUAGACCGCCUGGGGAGUACGGCCGCAAGGUUAAAACUCAAAUGAAUUGACGGGGGCCCGCACAAGCGGUGGAGCAUGUGGUUUAAUUCGAUGCAACGCGAAGAACCUUACCAUCCCUUGACAUCCAGAGAAUCUGUUAGAGAUAGUAGAGUGCCUUCGGGAACUCUGAGACAGGUGCUGCAUGGCUGUCGUCAGCUCGUGUUGUGAAAUGUUGGGUUAAGUCCCGCAACGAGCGCAACCCUUAUCCUUACUUGCCAGCGGGUUAUGCCGGGAACUUUAGGGAGACUGCCGGUGAUAAACCGGNGGAAGGUGGGGACGACGUCAAGUCAUCAUGGGCCCUUACGGGGAUGGGGCUAC